UGAAAUCCUAACCUACCAUCCUUCUUUUGGGUCUCUCUGCCCUUCCCACGCUCAGGUGAAAGCCCCACUCAUGCACCCCAUCAGCACAACAGCCCUCAGUCUUACUCCCAAAGAGCCCUUUUAGCAUAGAAAUCCUGCAGAGAUCCCACUCUAGGUGGUCCCUUCCAUUUGGGCCUCAAGAUGGACCGGCCCAGCCUAGAAAAAGGAUCGCCUGGACUCCUUACGACCUGAUUUUCAUACUUGUAACAGCCCCAGGAGAGGUGGAGGUUGGACCCGGAAAGGACUUCUUUUUGCCCAGAGAUGAGGCAAUGGCCUCCCAGCGGUUACCAGGAGGGGGCGCGACAGGCCAGCCCACGGGUCGUGUGAUCUGAGGACCCAGCCAGGUCGCGGAGGAGCGAGGGAGGGUCUAGCCGGCGCUGGGAGCCAGAGGGUGCCGGGCAGCUGGGAGAGCUGUUGGAGGAGCCAGGACCACCUGGGCGGAGGCUGCACACCCGCGCGCCCGCCCCUACACGGGAAAGGGAGUGGCAUCGCGUUCCGCCUAGUCAUCGCCUGCAAAGACUCGCGUCACCUCUGAUGUCAGUGCUUCAAGGGGCUUCUUUCCAGCUCCGGGCUCCAGGAAAGGGCGUCGCGGCGCCAGAGGUUACACAACUUCCCCAAUGUCGCGGUUAAGAGACGUGCAGGCCAGGGGGUUCGAACCCAGGUCUGUGGGCGCCUGCUGUGUGGGUCUAGUGCCUGCCAGCAUCGUCCGCAGGUGGCCUCGCUCCGCGCACCACCCUUGACGAAUCCCCUGCGGGAGCCAGACCAGCCUUGGCCUAGCUUCCUCCUUCCUUUCUCGUCUCUAAAAGGGUCUUUCGUGAACAAAGAGCUCCCUCCAAAUUCUCUUUAUGGAGAAGUAGCUUCUCAUCCAUUGAAGGAAUAACAUCUCUUGAUGCAAGGACAGCAGCGACAAGAUGGAAUGUCACCUGCUGAUAGAUUUGAUUCAAUAGAAUGAAUAUGGCUUCACUAAGGAGAGAACGUUGAAUUUUUUUUAAAUAUGUUAUUUAUUUAGAUAGAUUUCUUUUAAUUCAAGACAUAUACAUUCUAAUGGGACAAGUAUAAGAUGACAUACAGAUUAUCAUAAAAACUUCCCAAACCAUACACUUCAUUUUGCUGAUUCAAAAAUGUUUGAAUAACAGCUUUUCAGAAAGAAGGGUGCAUUAGAUGUACACAUCGAUUGUAAGACAGCACCAAUUAAAGUAAUAUCCAUUUUUUUAAAGUACACCUUAAAAUAGGGGAAAUGUGGAUUGCAUAUUUUACUAUAAUAUAUAUAUAUAUAUAUAUGGAUUUUUAUCAGUAGGGUCUAAUAUUUUUGUUGAAACUAUCUGAGAGCCCAAAGCAGGAACCUUUCCUCACUCUACUUGCAUACCACUGGUGACAGGGUGUUCACUACCUCUGAAUGUAAUCUUUUUCCUUGUGGGGAUGUUCUGGCAGUCAAAGUUGGUGCUCAGCCCCUUGUUAUCACCACAGGUCCUAGUUCAGCCCUUGGAGCCAGGCAAGGUUAUACUAUUGCUCCUACCUCUGCCCCUCUGAGUCUGUAUUCUCCAAGGUCAGUACCCCCAAGUCCUCACUAUUCCUUGCCCUCUACAAAUUGGACUCUGGUCUUUCCCUGUCCCCUCAAAAGUAUGGCAACCAGAACUGAAUGCAACCCUCCAGCAGUCACCUCCCUCAUCCCUAACCCUAUACCUCUAUAGAUGCAGCCUGAGAUCACAUUAGUUUGGGGCUGAAGUAAAAUGUGAUGAGAUCACAUUAGUUUGGAGCUAAUAAUGUGGCACAGAGAGGUCAAGCAAGUUGCCCAAGGAAGCAGGACUGGAAGGAGACAAAGUCAGGAUUCAAACUCUUAGCCCUUCCAGUGAACCCCAAGGGUUCAACGAGUUUUCCCAGGGGGUUCAUGUCUCUAAAUGUAGUACUACCAUCUGUUUCUACUUCUAUAUUUUAAUCAAUUAAUAAACACUAAUUUAUUAAUUUUUUUAAAGGGAACUGUUCGAAAGAUUCGGUGCUUAUCAAGCGGGGAUUCAAAAUUAUCAGACCUUUUAUUAAUCAACUGAACACUGCCAGCCCCUGGAAUGGUUUUGCAUAUGACACAGUUUUAAAUUAUUUUGAUUAUAAUAACAAAUGUAUAGUCUAUACUCAUAAUGCAUCAUGGGUUAAAAACACAAAUUCUAACCAAAAACUGGUGCUGAAAUACAAGUUAAGAUAGGAAAAAAAUUUUAAUGAAAAUAUUUCUGCAAAUUCCUCUUAUCUACACACUGCUUACAUCUGAUCACAGUCUCACACAUACUUGAUAAAUGCUGUUGGGACCACCAUGUAUCCACCAGGAUAAUUAAAUUUGAUCCCUACCUUACACCUAUGCCAAAAUUAAUUCCAAUAGAUACAAAAAAAACAAUACAUAAAAAAAUGAAACCAGGGCAGCUGGGUGGCUCAGUUGG